rnacentral:ncRNA from 1 species
UAAAAUUAAAAUUUUUAUUUGUCUAUAUUUUAUAUGUAAUUAUUAAAGGGAAUAAACUGUAUUUUAUAUAAGUAUAGGAUUAUUUAAUUUACAGUAAAUUAAUUUAUAAAAUUUAAUAGUUUAAUAAAUAGAAAUAGAGAAUUGAGUAUAUUCAAAAUUUGUGCCAGCAGUUGCGGUUAUACAAAUUAUGCGAUAAAAAUUUAUUGGAUAUAAGUUAAUUUGAUUUAAAUUUAAAAAAUAAUUAUUUAUUAGGUGAAAUUAGAAGUAGUUAUUAUUAAUUAUUUAUGAAGCUAAGAAGUUUUGCUUUAGACUAGGAUUAGAUACCCUAUUAUAAAAGAGUAAUAAAAAAAAUUCUUAUUAGUAUUAGUUAAGUUCUUUAAAAUAAAUAAAAUUGGCAGUAUUUUAAUUUAAUCAGAGGAACUUGUCUUGUAAAUGAUAGUCCACGUUUAAUUUGUCUUAAGUUAUUAAGUUUAUAUAUAGUCGUGGUUGAGUAUCUUUUUAAAGAUAAAUAUUCAUAAUUUAAAUUUAGAGAAUAGCAGAUAAAUAUGUAGUUUAUAUUUAAGUAAUGAUGAGUUACAGUUAUAAUAAUAAUAGUUUUAAGUUUAUAAUUUAUAAGAAAUUGGAUUUGAAUGUAAAUUUUAAUAUAUAUUAGAAUUGAUUAAAAUUUUAAAAUAUGUACAUAUUGCCCGUCGCUUUCAUUUAAAAUGAAAUAAGUCGUAACAAAGUAGAAGUACUGGAAAGUGUUUCUAGAAAACA